CAGCCGCCGCGGUAAUACAGAGGGUGCGAGCGUUAAUCGGAUUUACUGGGCGUAAAGGGCGCGUAGGUGGUUAGGUAAGUGAGAUGUGAAAUCCCCGGGCUCAACCUGGGAACUGCAUCUUAUACUGUCUAGCUGGAGUACAUGAGAGGGUAGUGGAAUUUCCGGUGUAGCGGUGAAAUGCGUAGAUAUCGGAAGGAACACCAGUGGCGAAGGCGGCCACCUGGGACAACACUGACGCUGAGGCACGAAAGCGUGGGGAGCAAACAGGAUUAGAUACCCGCGUAGUCCCUGUCUCUUAUAC
rnacentral:rRNA from 1 species